AAAAACUUUGUCAGUUACCUCUACCUAUUAAAAUAUAAUGAUAGGUUUUUUCAAGUUUUGUAAUUACAAGUUUUGUAAAACUUGUGUGAAUAAUACAUGAUAUUUAUUUGUUUAAAAUAUAAUGAUGUAGGAAUCAAUUUUUUAUAUGUGAUUUUCUUUCUUGGUAAUCAAAAAGUUAACUUGCAUGUUUGAUUGUUUUGGAGAUUUUUUGUCUUAAUGAGUGAUUCACCUUUGUUUAGAACCCUCCCAAGCUGGCUACUCCUCUAUUUGAUACUAAAAUGGCAGAGGACCCUAAGAUGACAUACAUAGACCUAGAUAAUCUUCAAAUUGUGUUUUGAACGAAGAGUGUUUGGUCUUGCAUUGUGAUGGCGUCUGAGUGUUGGCUUGGUCUAUGUUGGCUUGCUACAUAUCUAGAAAGCUCCAUGAUUUGUGCUAAGCUGAAGCGUAUCCAAUUUGGAUUUUCCAGCUCAAAAUAUCAGUAGAUUUGUUGUGGUAGUGCCUUAACAGGAUUUGAGACUUCUCCAUUCAAA